rnacentral:lncRNA from 1 species
UUCUACAACUGAUUUAGGCUUAUAUUUUCAACCCAUACAUGCCAAACUUAAAGCACAAAGACUGAUAUGAAACACAGACUUGCCGACAAAUCAUCAACAUUCAAACAAUAGCUAUCUCAAACCAAUUACAGAGAGCUCCAAGACAAUAUUGUUGCAUAUCCUAAUAUUUUUUCUUCAAAAGAGAAGCAGCCUUAGCUUCUGUGAACCCAAGAAGCUGAAAUUAGUAAGGUAUCAUCCACACAAGUCACUGAGGCAGUCUUUGGCAGAUGUUUUUUGCACCCUUGUUAACAUUCUCUGCGUGUGCAUUCAAGCAUAAAAUUCUGAAAUUCCCAAGCAUCCCAUGAUUACUGCAAUUCUGAAGCCCCCACUGUAAAAAAAAAAUACAAAUCAAUACAAAAAUAUAGAUAUACAAGUAAUGUUCCGGUGAAUCACUAAAAGAUAUACAAAAAUAUCAAUAUACAAGUAAUAUGAAAAUCUCAGUUGCACCUGUGGGUGAAUCACUAUCAUCACCUACACUUGGAUCCUGGGUAGCAUCAUCAUUUGAUGCUCCAGAUCUACAUUUAAACAGAUAGCAAAGUCAAAUUUAAACAAAUAGCAAAAUCAAUUUUAAAUAAAUAGCAAAGUCAAAAUAAGUAAACAUGCUUACCGAUUAUUAAGCACCGGACAGUUUCUUUUAUCGUGUGUCGCACCAACUUUGCCACAUCCAUGACAACAUCUACCCUUGGGAUUUUUUGUUUUCUCCAAAGCCCUUUCUUUGCCACCCUUCAGCCUUUUGUCACACCCUCUUGCUCGCACUUGGUUCGACUCGAUGUAACUAUGUUCACAAGUAGAAGUCAUGUUAACCGACUUGGAUACACUCAUUCCACCACACUCCAUUUCAUUGUUUCUUUUGGAAUCAUUAUUUCCAAUAAUUUGUUUGAUCUUUUUAUCCGCAUUACCUAAACAUUCAUUUAAAAUAUUUAUGGCUUCUUCAUUUGUGAGCGCUCUAUCAAUCAAAUCUAAAGAAUGUUGAAUCAAUCGACUCCGCAAGAGUAAGUAUGACUUGUCAUCUUUUAUCAUCACACCAUUAUCAUCAAUUACACCACUUGAUUUUGUUGUCUUUGUCCACCUCUUCAAAAUGUAUUUUGUAGGCAAUUCGUCAAGAUCAUGAUACUUAUUCAAGUAAGCUAUCACAUGCCGACAUAGGAUUCCCAAACUCUCAAACUUUUUACAAGUGCAUGUUGCAUAAUCCAAAGAUUUGUCAUUAUGAAUUUCUCUCACUUUAAAAUUGUUGACAUUCCUUCGGUAAAUCUUAUAUAUGUUGUAGUUCACAUCCUCCUUCAUAAGUUCAAACCUAUAAUUCAAGCUCUCACACAACUCAUUUUCAAAUUUAUAAUAUAUAGUGUGUAUAAAUGUCAACCAUUUGAAAUACAAAGACAUGGCUAAUUUUCAUUUUCGGCCUCUCAAUCAAAUCUUUGUUAUCCGAGGCCAACUCUACAUGUUGUUGAUGUUGAAGACCCCGAUCAAAUUGAAUCAUAAAAUCCACUAAAGAAUUUCUUUUAGAAACAAAUUUUUUUAAAAAUGAAUGAGAACCCAUUGCCCGUUGGCUACUUGAUAUGCCGGCUGAGAAAACAUGAUUCACAUGUGCGGGUACCCAUCUACAACGCAUGUCAUACAUUGAUUGUAGCCAUUUAUUAGCAUUCAACCCACUUUUCUCCACCAGCUCCACCCAAGUGGAGUCAAACUCUUCCACAGUCUCCGAAUUCCAAAUGCAAUUUGAAAAAUCUUUAUAAUAAGCACUGAAUUUUCCUGACAAUUUGGUCAAAAUGUGCCAACUACAAUACCUAUGAAAUGUAUUAGGAAGGAUCUGUGAAAUGGCAUUUGUCAUAGCCGGAUCUUGAUCGGUGAUAAUCAUCUUAGGUGCAUCACCUGGCAUCGCUUCCAAAAAACACUUGAAAAGCCAAACAAAAGUAUCUAUGGUCUCAUCACUUAAGAAAGCACAACCAAAUAUAAUAGUUUGGCCAUGGUUAUUAACCCCCAUUAGUGGUGCAAAUAUCAUUCCGUAACGAUUAGUAUUGUAUGUGGUAUCAAAAAUGACAACAUCACCGUAAAAUCUAUAAGCCCGUCUAGAAGUUGCAUCGGCCCAAAAACAACGAGCAAUCCUUUUUUCAUUGUUUAUGUCAAUUGUAAAAGUGAAUGACGGAUUCUUUUGUUGUUCUAACUUCAAGUACUCAUUCAACAUAUCGCCAUCAUGUCCCUUCAACUCAUUACGCUCGUCUCUUUUAAAGUUAUACAAAUCUCGUUGUGGGGUUGACAAUGGGUGACAAUGGUCCUCCUCAAUUAUAGUAACUACGUAUAAGUCAUUUCUUUUUACCACUACAAUUCUUGCACUACAACCUUCUUUUGUAGAUCCACGUUUUCUUUUUACAUCCAUAUCGGCUAAUAGUUUGCCCUUUCCUUGCUUAUAACACACAUACUCCUUCCUAUGAUUCUCAUCACUUCCCACCCUUUUUUUCUCAUUAAAGUUUCGCACACUAAAACCAGCAUGCAUUGCAUAUGUAUUGUAAAAAGUGUAAACAUCAUCCAAUGUUAGAAAUUCUUGACCUAACUUAGGCGUAAACCCAUCUGUUACUUGAGGAUGGUAGACAAAAGUUUUAGCAUUGUUCACAUCCAACCCCUCUAAAUCCAUUUCUGCAUUUUCCCUACAACUCCCUAUUUCAUGGUCCACGUCAUCCAUUUGUAAUAAACCUGAAAAUAAUGUAUGUAUGCACAACCAAUUUAAUACUGAGCAAUUCAAUAAUGUAUGUAUGCACAACCAAUUUAUGAUGGUUUGUUAUAAAGCAAGAAUUGGAUAUGGAACCUAGGGAAUGGGGAGUCUAUCAGAUUCUGGUAUGAUAUAUGGACAGGGGCUAUUGCAUUAAAAGAGCAAUUUCCAAGACUGUUUAGACGAACAGAGGAGAAGAAAACCAUUGUUGCUCAUGUUUUAAGAAAAGAAAGGGAUAGUAUUAUUGUUGAUGCUUUAGAGAAUUUAGCCAAUAUGAGAUAGAAUGGCUUUGAAAAGGAAACUUUUAAUGUUGAAUCCUUUAUUUUCCAUCCAAAUCUGCAGAAGCCAAACACAGCUACACUAAGUUUGAAAAGGAUUUUUUUUAAGUGGUCUUGGGGUGGGGGUGGGGGUUGAGCAAAUGAAUCAGCCAUAAAUUUCACAUUCUGAAAAUCUAGCCAUUNNNNNNNNNNNNNNNNNNNNNNNNNNNNNNNNNNNNNNNNNNNNNNNNNNNNNNNNNNNNNNNNNNNNNNNNNNNNNNNNNNNNNNNNNNNNNNNNNNNNACACAAAGUAUUUACUACUUUAAAAAGAAGUGCUAAACAGACACAGUCAAAUGAACUAUCCAGCUCUGUAGGCUCCAAGCACCAUCACAAUCAAGAAAAUUCCGAGUAACCCAAAAGUUAGAAACUUAAAGGUUAUACGCAGAUGAAUAGAGGGGGAAAUGGUUUACUAUUUUAAGAAGAAUACUGAAGCACCCCAAAAGCUAUAAAAAUCCAAUUCAGUAUGAACAAAAUCCAAAAAGGCAUAAUGAGUUGAAUCCAGACAAUCCGAUUCAGUAUGAACAAAAUCCAAAAAAUGCAAAGAGACAACAAGGGUAACAUAAAACCUAGAUAUCAUCCAAGGUCAAAACCCAAAAAGAGUAUCGAAAAAUUGCAGCAAAACUUCAUAAAUUACGGUUGCAAUGGCGGAAAAUAGUUAAGGGUUUACCGAAUGAAAGUCCAGAUUUGGGCGUUUGUCCUCUUAUUCCUCUGAUUCGUGUUGCUUGCUGGAGUUGGAAUCUAUUUUGGAGAGAAAUAGCAGAUAUACAGGCUACGUCGGAGAUAGUUUUGGAGAGAAAUAGAUAUGAUGGGUUUUGUUAAAUUGAAAAAAUAAAGAGUUGAGUCAUUUGCUAUUUGCUACUAUUUGAGUUUUU